GCCCGAGUGGCGGAAUUGGCAGACGCGCCUGACUCAAAAUCAGGUUCUUCGGAGUGUGGGUUCGAGUCCCACCUCGGGCACCG
rnacentral:tRNA from 1 species